AAACUGUAGAGUUUGAUUCUGGCUCAGAAUGAACGCUGGCGGCGUGCUUAACACAUGCAAGUCGAACGAGAAAGGUGGUGCUUGCACCGCCGAGUAGAGUGGCGCACGGGUGAGU
rnacentral:rRNA from 1 species